GAAACGGAAACUAAAACCGGAUAGGUAAUAGAGAAGCAUUUCUGUAUUAUUAAAGAAGCCUCAAAGCUUUGAACAUGGAUGGACCUGCGGUGCAUUAGCUAGUUGGUAAGGUAACGGCCUACCAAGGCGACGAUGCAUAGCCGACCUGAGAGGGCGAACGGCCACAUUGGGACUGAGACACGGCCCAAACUCCUACGGGAGGCAGCAGUAGGGAAUUUUCGUCAAUGGGGGGAACCCUGAACGAGCAAUGCCGCGUGAGUGAAGACGGUCUUCGGAUUGUAAAGCUCUGUUGUGAGAGAAAAAGGAUAUAUAUAGGAAAUGAUAUGUAUUUGAUGGUAUCUCACCAGAAAGUCACGGCUAACUACGUGCCAGCAGCCGCGGUAAUACGUAGGUGGCGAGCGUUAUCCGGAAUGAUUGGGCGUAAAGGGUACGUAGGCGGCAUGAUAAGUCUGGAGUGAAAGGCUACAGCUCAACUGUAGUAUGCUCUGGAAACUGUCAAGCUAGAGUGCAGAAGAGGGCAAUGGAACUCCAUGUGUAGCGGUAAAAUGCGUAGAUAUAUGGAAGAACACCGGUGGCGAAGGCGGUUGCCUGGUCUGAAACUGACGCUGAAGUACGAAAGCGUGGGGAGCAAAUAGGAUUAGAUACCCUAGUAGUCCACGCCGUAAAAGAUGAGAACUAGGUGUUGGGGGAAUAACUCAGUGCC
rnacentral:rRNA from 1 species